rnacentral:tRNA from 1 species
GACUCUGUAGCUCAAUGGUAAGAGCGCACCAUUCCAACCAGCAAUUGUCCACCGGUGAGGUCUGAGGUUCGAAUCCCGGCGAGUCC